GGCUCAUUGGUCUAGUGGUUUGAUUCUUGCUUUGGGUGUUAGAGGCCCCGGGUUCAAAUCCCGGAUGAGCCC
rnacentral:tRNA from 1 species